CGUGCGUAUUGAAUGUCAAAUUCCGAAAAUUCUCCGGAUCGCCGGGUCCCCCUCUCCCCCUCCCCGUCAUCCGGUGGUGUUCGGGCCUCCACCGUUGCUCUCCGCCCAAGAGCCAGCCGGAUCCAGGAGCUACAACACGACGACAACCUCCCGCACCCAGCUCUACCCACGUCGGGCUGCAUCGAUGGUCCAGAAGAGGGGUGUCGCCGGCGUGAGCCUUGCCGCCGGAUCCAGUGUAUCCGGCGCCACCUCCCCCCCCCGACGUCCCUCCUGCCAUGGUCCGGUAGCUCCGGCAUGCAGUGCGUCCGUGCUAUCUUACUCCAGCUCCUCGAGGUCCCGCAAUGCCCAGAUCUAGGGGAGACGAGAGUGGGACGAACGACGAUGGUAAGCGGGGCUGCAGAGCCCUUCCUCUCGCAGCUUUCCUGUUGUCGGACGACGUCCACGACGAAGGCGAAUUUGCUGGGGGCCGAUUGAUCCCCACCACAACAUCUUUGCUGGUUCCUAGCGGUUCAAGAGCUGCUAUAGCCGUUGACCUUGGUGGUUCCGAGCAGAGGAUGGCUGCCUGGCAAUCUGGAAGCUGCUCUCCAUCCGCCGCCCGCCCCUACAACCCGAGAUGCAGGCCUUGUGCGAUCGAGAUGCUUGAUUUGGAUCUGCUGCUUUAUGCCUUUUUAGGCUUGAUCUUUGCAUCUGUUUGGGAUGAUCCAAGAAACCGUUUGGUCGUUUUGGCCAGCAGAAAAUUUCCGGCAGCUGAGGGAAGAAGCGAUCUGCAUCCUGUGCUUGUGAUGAGAGGGACAUGUUCAUCUGAAGCAUCUGCAUCUUACCAUCUGUUAUCUAUGUUUUGUAUUUUGAGUUUUUUUUACCAAGGUCGUCUCUUUUGUUUCGUAGCAGACAAUGGUGAAGACGCACCUGUAGUAGUUCUUCAUAUUUUUCUGUUCUUAAGGUCUUCGUCAACUAGUAUUUCAUUUCAUGUUUCCGUGAUAUGAAACGUGGAGUUCCUCCUAUACCUUGACUUAUACUUUGAAUUUCUGAAGAUUUUAGCUCCUUUGGGGGCAGUAUUGCUUUGAGCAUAUUAGCUCCAUUGCUUCUAUGUGCAUGUAGAGUCACAAUUUAUGGACUUGGGCUGUUGGCUGAUUUCUACCUUCUUCGAAAGUUUGGAUCUGUAAUCUCUCGAUCUGUAAAGGUAAUGUUUGUCUGGUUUCUUCUUGUGCGCAGCCGUGCAGGUAUGCUGAAAUUCUGAUAAAGAAGAACGAAGCUUCACCUGGGAAGUUGGAGGUGUACUUUUUUUUCACUUCUCUACUGAUGUGUUGGGCGGAGAUUUAUUCUCUCUACUGAUGUGUUCAGCAGAUUCAGAUGUUGUCUUUUUUUUCCUUGGUUGUGGAUUUCGUUGUAAUCUUCCUUGGUUGGAACGAAAUUAUAUAUGAUGUAAAUAAAAUAAUAGCACCACAGCAUUAACAUUA